rnacentral:rRNA from 2 species
CGACCUGAGGUCAGGCAAGAACACCCGCUGAACUUAAGCAUAUCAAUAAGCGGAGGAAAAGAAACUAACUAGGAUUCCCUUAGUUGCGGCGAGCGAACC